rnacentral:snRNA from 1 species
AAGUAUUACAACUCUUUUAGAAUUUGUCUAGCAGGCUUUCCGGUUUUUGCAGGAAAGAAACCUCC